rnacentral:rRNA from 1 species
GGGUUGUGAGGUUAAGCGACUAAGCGUACACGGUGGAUGCCCUGGCAGUCAGAGGCGAUGAAGGACGUGCUAAUCUGCGAUAAGCGUCGGUAAGGUGAUAUGAACCGUUAUAACCGGCGAUUUCCGAAUGGGGAAACCCAGUGUGUUUCGACACACUAUCAUUAACUGAAUCCAUAGGUUAAUGAGGCGAACCGGGGGAACUGAAACAUCUAAGUACCCCGAGGAAAAGAAAUCAACCGAGAUUCCCCCAGUAGCGGCGAGCGAACGGGGAGCAGCCCAGAGCCUGAAUCAGUGUGUGUGUUAGUGGAAGCGUCUGGAAAGGCGCGCGAUACAGGGUGACAGCCCCGUACACAAAAAUGCACAUACUGUGAGCUCGAUGAGUAGGGCGGGACACGUGGUAUCCUGUCUGAAUAUGGGGGGACCAUCCUCCAAGGCUAAAUACUCCUGACUGACCGAUAGUGAACCAGUACCGUGAGGGAAAGGCGAAAAGAACCCCGGCGAGGGGAGUGAAAAAGAACCUGAAACCGUGUACGUACAAGCAGUGGGAGCACGCUUCGGCGUGUGACUGCGUACCUUUUGUAUAAUGGGUCAGCGACUUAUAUUCUGUAGCAAGGUUAACCGAAUAGGGGAGCCGAAGGGAAACCGAGUCUUAACUGGGCGUUAAGUUGCAGGGUAUAGACCCGAAACCCGGUGAUCUAGCCAUGGGCAGGUUGAAGGUUGGGUAACACUAACUGGAGGACCGAACCGACUAAUGUUGAAAAAUUAGCGGAUGACUUGUGGCUGGGGGUGAAAGGCCAAUCAAACCGGGAGAUAGCUGGUUCUCCCCGAAAGCUAUUUAGGUAGCGCCUCGUGAAUUCAUCUCCGGGGGUAGAGCACUGUUUCGGCAAGGGGGUCAUCCCGACUUACCAACCCGAUGCAAACUGCGAAUACCGGAGAAUGUUAUCACGGGAGACACACGGCGGGUGCUAACGUCCGUCGUGAAGAGGGAAACAACCCAGACCGCCAGCUAAGGUCCCAAAGUCAUGGUUAAGUGGGAAACGAUGUGGGAAGGCCCAGACAGCCAGGAUGUUGGCUUAGAAGCAGCCAUCAUUUAAAGAAAGCGUAAUAGCUCACUGGUCGAGUCGGCCUGCGCGGAAGAUGUAACGGGGCUAAACCAUGCACCGAAGCUGCGGCAGCGACACUAUGUGUUGUUGGGUAGGGGAGCGUUCUGUAAGCCUGUGAAGGUGUGCUGUGAGGCAUGCUGGAGGUAUCAGAAGUGCGAAUGCUGACAUAAGUAACGAUAAAGCGGGUGAAAAGCCCGCUCGCCGGAAGACCAAGGGUUCCUGUCCAACGUUAAUCGGGGCAGGGUGAGUCGACCCCUAAGGCGAGGCCGAAAGGCGUAGUCGAUGGGAAACAGGUUAAUAUUCCUGUACUUGGUGUUACUGCGAAGGGGGGACGGAGAAGGCUAUGUUGGCCGGGCGACGGUUGUCCCGGUUUAAGCGUGUAGGCUGGUUUUCCAGGCAAAUCCGGAAAAUCAAGGCUGAGGCGUGAUGACGAGGCACUACGGUGCUGAAGCAACAAAUGCCCUGCUUCCAGGAAAAGCCUCUAAGCAUCAGGUAACAUUAAAUCGUACCCCAAACCGACACAGGUGGUCAGGUAGAGAAUACCAAGGCGCUUGAGAGAACUCGGGUGAAGGAACUAGGCAAAAUGGUGCCGUAACUUCGGGAGAAGGCACGCUGAUAUGUAGGUGAAGUCCCUCGCGGAUGGAGCUGAAAUCAGUCGAAGAUACCAGCUGGCUGCAACUGUUUAUUAAAAACACAGCACUGUGCAAACACGAAAGUGGACGUAUACGGUGUGACGCCUGCCCGGUGCCGGAAGGUUAAUUGAUGGGGUUAGCGGUAACGCGAAGCUCUUGAUCGAAGCCCCGGUAAACGGCGGCCGUAACUAUAACGGUCCUAAGGUAGCGAAAUUCCUUGUCGGGUAAGUUCCGACCUGCACGAAUGGCGUAAUGAUGGCCAGGCUGUCUCCACCCGAGACUCAGUGAAAUUGAACUCGCUGUGAAGAUGCAGUGUACCCGCGGCAAGACGGAAAGACCCCGUGAACCUUUACUAUAGCUUGACACUGAACAUUGAGCCUUGAUGUGUAGGAUAGGUGGGAGGCUUUGAAGUGUGGACGCCAGUCUGCAUGGAGCCGACCUUGAAAUACCACCCUUUAAUGUUUGAUGUUCUAACGUUGACCCGUGAUCCGGGUUGCGGACAGUGUCUGGUGGGUAGUUUGACUGGGGCGGUCUCCUCCUAAAGAGUAACGGAGGAGCACGAAGGUUGGCUAAUCCUGGUCGGACAUCAGGAGGUUAGUGCAAUGGCAUAAGCCAGCUUGACUGCGAGCGUGACGGCGCGAGCAGGUGCGAAAGCAGGUCAUAGUGAUCCGGUGGUUCUGAAUGGAAGGGCCAUCGCUCAACGGAUAAAAGGUACUCCGGGGAUAACAGGCUGAUACCGCCCAAGAGUUCAUAUCGACGGCGGUGUUUGGCACCUCGAUGUCGGCUCAUCACAUCCUGGGGCUGAAGUAGGUCCCAAGGGUAUGGCUGUUCGCCAUUUAAAGUGGUACGCGAGCUGGGUUUAGAACGUCGUGAGACAGUUCGGUCCCUAUCUGCCGUGGGCGCUGGAGAACUGAGGGGGGCUGCUCCUAGUACGAGAGGACCGGAGUGGACGCAUCACUGGUGUUCGGGUUGUCAUGCCAAUGGCACUGCCCGGUAGCUAAAUGCGGAAGAGAUAAGUGCUGAAAGCAUCUAAGCACGAAACUUGCCCCGAGAUGAGUUCUCCCUGACUCCUUGAGAGUCCUGAAGGAACGUUGAAGACGACGACGUUGAUAGGCCGGGUGUGUAAGCGCAGCGAUGCGUUGAGCUAACCGGUACUAAUGAACCGUGAGGCUUAACCUUA